CUACGAAGUGGGUAGAGGUAUCUCCAGCUUGUCUGGGGAGGGAGGCCUACAUCUGAUGUGGGUAGUACCAUCCACUCCAAUGGAUUUGCUGCGGAACCAUAAAACGGACAGAAGAAGCCUAGGUUCCCACUGGGCACUGAUCACUGAAUGUCAACUUGAUGAAAUUCAAAGGAGUGUACCCACCUGUCAAUUGGUAUUUGCGCUGGAAAUUGAUGUCAAUUGGGUGUAAAAACCCAGUUAAAGUCUGCUGAAGGUUAGUAGCGGCAACUGAUGUCCAGUUUGUAAGACAGAAAUGCCUCUGAUGAUACCACUGGCGUGACUCAAAUGGAUGUCAAUUUGAUGAUAUCUGAUUGUAGCAUGCUACCCUUCACGGUCGCACUCAAACCACCUUCGGGGUAGCUGUGACCCCCUCAUGUCAACGUGAGGAAAUUCAAUGAAGCGGGGGUAAACGGCAGGACAUAAUUAAGAGUCUCUUGAGGUAGCCAAAUGCCUCGUCAUCUAAUUAGUGACGCGCAUGAAUGGAUGAACGAGAUUCCCACUGUCCCUACCUACUAUCUAGCGAAACCACAGCCAAGGGAACGGGCUUGACGGAAUCAGCGGGGAAAGAAGACCCUGUUGAGCUUGGCUCUUGGCACUGUGAAGAGACAUGAGAGGUGUAGAAUAAGUGGGAGGCUUCGGCCGCCGGGAUAGCCUCUUUUGGCAGGUGAGUAGAGUCGUUCGUGACAGGGUUGGGGUGCAGCCGGAUGAGUUGCUGCCCCUCUCAUGAUGCGCACCGCAUGUUUGUGGGGAACCUGGUGCUAAAUCAUUCGUAGAUGAACUGAUUCUGGGUCAGGGUUUCGUACGUAGCAGAGCAGCUCACUCGCUGCGAUCUAUUGAAAGUCAGCCCUCGAUCCAAGCUUUUGUCCUAAGGCGAGGUCAG